GACAAGCGCCAAGCGGCAAGCUCCCAGCUCAAAGCUCGCCCCUCAAACCCAAGGACCCAAACCCCACCAUCCCCAUCACCGCAUCCGCCCCGCGCCCCCGCCCCGGCUAGCCCACCGCCGCAGCGCCGCCCAGAAGCGCGUGAUGGCGGCGCACACGCACAAGCGGCCGCUCGGCGCCGUCGCGCCGGAACAGGAGGCGGCGUGCUUCCCGAGGAAGCGGCCGCUCGGCGCCGCCGCGCCGGAGCAGGAGCAGGAGGCGCCCUGUUCCCCGAGCAAGCGGCUGCGCCGGGCGGGGCUCAUCGUCAUGUGGCUGGAGAAGGGCAAGGCGAGGGUGGUCACCAUCGGGCAGAUGGCACAGAUGCUUCGCCAGUCGCAACUCGACGUGGCAAACUCGGUCAUGGAGAGGCUCCCCAACAUACUCGAGAGAGUUUUGGGGGAGCAUUUUGGUGUUUUCAAGAGUUCUAUUAUGGGAUGCAUAGACGAUAAGGUUCAGUUAAUUGUACAGACAAAGAUGCAGGAACAACAAGCUGCUUCGCUUCCUAGUGGAGUUUCUGAGCCUCCUAGGCAUGUAUCGGAAGGCUUUCCUAAAACUGGAAGCGUCACUGGAGUUGUCAAGCUAUGCUUUGAUGUUGCAGGACCAAAAGAUACACUUUUCACGCGUUGUCCUGUAUGGAAGAAUGGAGCAAAUGCUAAAGUAGCAAUACUUCAAAAUGAGACACAAAUCACGCAGGGUGAUCUUUCUAAAUUGCAAAUUGAGAUUUUACCUGUUCAUGCUGAUUUCUUUACUGGACAAGAGGAUUUCACCAAAGAUGAAUUCAACAAGCAAAUAUAUAUGUAUAAAGGGAAAGAGUUGGUCUUGGCAACUGUUAGUCUAUCAAACGGCGAGUCCUCUCUUGGUUCAUUCUCCUUUCCAGAGAGCUCCCACGGGAAAAAGUUAAGAUUAACAGCUCGAGUGAAAAGGCAGGAUCUUACUGUCAGAGUUCAGGAAGCAAUCACUGAUCCUUUUGUCGUCAAAGACCGUCGAAGUGAAUCAAAUGAGAAGAGUCCUAUUCCAUCCAAGGAAGACGAUAUACAUCAACUGAAGAAAAUUUGCUUAAAGGGAAAACAUCGGAAUAACCUUGUGGAGAAAAAUAUUACGAAAGUGAAGCACUUGUUGCGCCAUUAUCACAAUGAUAAAUUUGGUCUCCAAAAGCUUGCUGGCAUGAAGAAGGGGGAUUGGAAUACCAUGAUUGAACAUGCUACCAUGUGUGUUCCUGGGGAUGAGAUCUAUUCCUAUUUGGUUCCAGAGGAUAAUUGUCAAAUCUUAUUCAAUGAUUUCUAUGAUCUUGUCGGUAAGAUAACUGAUAACUAUGUUCCUUACAGUGUCGACGACGUCGAUCAGUUUCCACAGCUUAAAGUGAAGAACUGGAAAAUGUCUGCAUACAAGAAAUUUGAGGAGCUGGAGAACUCAGGGGGUCUUAUCCCUGAUUAUUUCCUGAGUAACGGCCGCCUUAUCCCGGCAGCGCCUCCGAACAACGGUGCCAGUACUUCCAAAAAUCAAACAACUGCAGAAUUUGGUGAGCAACAACCAUUUCUGCAGGAGAGUGGAUUCCCGCUGGCACAGAUCUUUGCAAACAAUGUUGCUGGCCCUUUGAAUCAAGAAAGACCACCAUUUGCACAGUACAGUUACGAACAGGUUACGCAUCAAGAACCAUAUCAGCAGGAUCCUUUUAUGGGGUGUAAUGGAAUUCCUUCCUAUCUGACCCAAGGAAACAUUGAUGGUAUGGGAUCAUUUCCAGCAUGGUCAAUCAGCCCAUCCCACAAUUCUGCACCAGCUCAAGAGAAUGAUUCAAUAACUGGUGCAAAUCUAACUGCCCAACGUAAUGCAUACUUGACAACUGCCACUCCUGGUGGAGUUAGUCAGGGAACCUCUUCACUUAUCCAUGAUCAAGCUGGCAUCAGUGGAUUAUAUCCAAUUGAAGUAUGUGCUUUUCUUUUUAAGGAGUUGGAUAAAUCAUGGGAAUUAUGCUUUACAACAGAGCAAUUAUCUUUGCUCAGGCCAAUGAAUGGCUAGGAGUAGAAGAAGCACAUGUGGCAGAUCAGAACUAUAUACCAGCUGACAACGCAGACCUGCCGAAUUCUAACAACCAAUCUAAUGGUUAAGAAUAUGAUGGUGGCAUCUGGUGAUUGAACUUGAGACCACAGCAACAGGCUUUCCUCUACCAGAGUAAACAUGAUGGUGGCAGCCGGUGAUUCAAGUAUUCUGUGUGAUUAAGCAUUUAGUUUGUAAAUAUCGAUAGUGUUGCGAGUAGUACGUCAGUAUAUUGCUGAAUUUGCUAUUGGUUGCAGUAGGCAUUUGGGCUGUAUUAUUAAAGAACAAUCUUUUAGAAAAAAGAGGGCACUUCGCUCUUCUUGAAUACCGAGGAGCAACUAUUCGCAUUGCUGAACUUGGUGUAAUCAUGUUAAUCAAUCUUUUUUGCUGAGGUGAA